UUAAAGGUAACAACUCCCAUCGGCAAACCAGGUCUCUUCUGGAUUGUCCCGGGUUGGCCGCUUAAAUCCCACUAUCAGGCACAAGUGAAGCAGAUGGUCUCAGUACACAACUGCCUCUGAGAUAACACCAUCCAUCCUGGUGAGAUCAUUAAGACAUGGGACGUUCUAAAGGAAGGUAAAACAUGUCCUACAGUAAGGACUUCUAGGCAACACUCUGAGAUGAGAUGAGCUGCCUUAAAGCAGCACUCUCCAACCUGCUGAGCUGCUUGCUUGUGCCGAGUUGCAGGAUUCCAGCUUUCCUGAGCCGUCACCUACAUUGGGUAGACUUUGAGUGAUACAGCUGCCUUUGGAUCAUUUCUGCUUUUCCUGAGAAUUCUCUGCUAAUAUCACAGACUUUGUGUAAAUCCCAGAGAAUGAGGGUGCCCUGGUGCAUGCCAUGCUACAGUGGGACCUGUGUCUGCUUCUAUUGUCUGUAGCCAAGAUUUCUUCCAGUUCUACAGUAGAGAUACAGAGGCAAGGUCUCAUGCUGACCUAACGCUGACCUCUGUUCAGGCUGUCAUGACUGCAAGAGCAGAAGACUGCCUAUGCAUCCCAGAGUUGGCUCUGUGUGCCCUUUGGCCUCCAGAACUUCUUCAGAAUAUGAUUGAAGGUACUCAGAAUGAAUGGGAAAUUAUCCCAUGGAACUGGAAUUCAAACACAGGUGCCCACAGAGCCCUCAAGAACAAACAACACUAUAUUCAGUGCCUACCGGGUCCAGCAUGAAGAGAUCCACUCCUUGCCCUGUAGAAAGAGCCACCAGGGUUGCACUACCAUACAGUGCAUAACCUGCAGCCACGAUAUUGCGUCCAGGCUGCAAGGCAUCCUUCUCGGAAGGCUCAUCCUCUGUGGUCUGUGGAAGAUAAGAAGAAAUGCACUCGGUCUCAGCCAGUCAGCAUCAUCAACCCUAGUUCUCGAAAGGAAAGAUGAGAUAUGCUCUUUAAUCUCCACCUACUUGGCUGCUGUUCUGAAUUGAGUAUGAGGCGUCCUUAGCUUCAAAGGCUCGUGUGUAAGGUAGAGGCUUGGUCCUCAGCUCAUGGAACUGUUUGGGGACAUUCUGGAAACUUUACAGUAUUGGACAGCACAUCAUUUUAGUGUGUUUGCAGCCUACCUUUCAUUAAAGACAUCAGAAGAGAGGCACAGA